ACACAUUUAAAUGGUGCAGCAUGUUCAAGUCGUUCCCAUUGCUGAAAAUACGUACAUUACGAGUCUUAAAGGAUUACCUGGUAGCAAAAGAAUAAAUAGUAGUUCAGCAACUAAAGCAGCAUAAAACCAGCAGCAAAACAGCAGCAAAAUCAACAGCAAAUCCGUGUUAAAACAACCCGAAAACUUAGAGAGGGAACCCAAAAACGAACUCUAAAGAGGACUUAUACUUUUUUAAAAGUUUGCACUCUAAGAUUCACUCCCAAAGCUCACCAUUUCAGCUUACUUUUCAUGUGUUCAACUGCUGAAUUUUUUUUGUUUUUGUGACAAAGCAAUUAUAAAAAAUUCCUCCUGGAAGUGUGAUGGAGUCCCCCCAAAGUGAGGAAAUGGCAGCCCUUAAAUAGGUAAAUUAGGACAGAUUUUGGUUCACCAAAUGUCUGUCCGACAAAAACUGACAUUGUGUGCUAAACACUGUUCAAAAUCUGUCCAAAGGUCAAAGGAAAUCUACUAUGUCAGAAACAAAGAAAAAAAAAUAUCAUUUCAGCCACCUUAACUAGUAAAAGUAAGCUACUAGCACCCUAUUUUGUGAUAAAAUAACAUAAACUUCAGAUUUUAACAAUAUCAAUAUCACCCUGUUGAUUCAAACUAAACCAAGUAUUAAAACAUGUAAUUAAACUUCACAUAUGUAUUAUGAACCAAUCGUAAGCAAACAAAAAUUAAUUAUUAAAGCCAAACGAAAUGGACGCUAUCGCUGGAGCGAUUUAAUAAAACCAACUAGACAAACAUAAUCAAAAAUGGAUUAAAUGAAGAAACAAGAUAGAAACUAACUUUAACUAUUAAAAAAAUCAAAAAAAUAAUAAUGGGGCAGGAUUACGAUUUUACCAUAUACUCUCAAGCAUUUCCUCACUACCUCACUUUAAUCAACACAAAGUUAUUUUACUACUUCAACAAGUGCAAAAACAGAAAAUUUAACAUUCCAAAACUUCAAAAACUAAUGCUAAAAUAAUUAAUAAUAAAAAAUAAAAUCUGAAAAAUAAAAAUAAAAAUCAGCCAUGAAAAAGAAUAGGAUUUUACCAUUUUACAAUUCAAGUGGCCGAAAAAAUGGUGGUAUGCCAAAAGAAUGUGUUCGGGGAGGUCGCCGAAAUUUGGCCGGAUUUUGGUCACCGAAUUUUCAGGGUGAAAUUGGCAUCAAUAGCUAGGUCUUGAGGAGCUCUAUCCAUUGAUGUAGGUAUUGUGGGUGGUAGUGGUUGGAGCUUCAAUAAUUUGGGCAAAAAAGUGACGGGAAAGUUUC
rnacentral:lncRNA from 1 species